UUAAGACCUUCCUCAUCUGAGAAGGAUGUCUUAGGAUCUACUGCAUCUGAACUGCAUGCUUUACAACUAACCCCAUCUACCCAAGUAGAUUUAUUUCACAUGUCCAUUCUGGGGAGAAAUAGUCGACAUUCUACCUCUACCAAAGUGGACCACAAGCAUCCAGUUUCUAGAAACACAGGGUUAAGAUUUGAUCCUCCUGAUGGAGUCUUGAGAAAUUUCUCCUCUAAGGAAGACAGUUUCAACCUUCCCCCUUCUCCUAAAAGGGAUCUUGUGCCAUCUUCUGCUGCCAAAGAGACACCAAAACCUACAACUACUCCUCAGGUAAUUGGACAGGAGAAUUCGAUUUCUUAAUGGAUCAGCUACGUGUAGCCAUCAUGACCAUGAAAUCCACACGUGCAGAUGCUAGACUGGCUACGGGAUUGUCAUCUUGGAUUGAGGCUGCUAUGAAUCAUCUGAGGGAGUGGGCGGGUAUGGGAACCCUAGCUUGACUCUUGCUGCUGGUCUCCCUAGUGCGCCUGUGG
ensembl:lncRNA